GGUCAGCCCCGCGAUGAACGACACCACGGGCUUGGCACUGGCACCAGAGUUGUGCUGCUUUGAGGUAAUCGGCGGCCUUCUCCUCGGCGUCACCCCCGAUCUCCCCGAUGAGGAUGAUGCCCUCGGUCUUUGGGUCCCGCAGGAAUACCUCCAGACAGUCGAUGAAGUCCGUACCGUUGAACGGAUCGCCUCCGAUACCGAUGCAGAGGGACUGGCCAAGGCCAACCUGUGUGGUUUGGUGCACUGCUUCAUACGUCAGUGUGCCGGACCUGGACACGAUGCCAAUUCUUCCUUUCUUGUGGAUGUGUCCUGGCAUGAUGCCAAUCUUGCAUUCUCCAGGAUUGAUGACCCCGGGACAGUUGGGUCCGAUUAGCCGGGUGGUGCCCUGGCGCAUCAGCCGGUGUUUGACGCGCACCAUGUCCUGCUGGGGGAUGCCCUCCGUGAUGCACACCACCAGGGGCAUCUCCGCAUCGAUGGCCUCGAUGAUGGCGGCCGCCGCGAAGGGGGGCGGGACGUAGAUCACGGUGGCGUGGGCCCCAGUGCCCUCCCUCGCCUCCUUGACUGAGUUGAAGACGGGUAGGCCCAGAUGGGACUUGCCACCCUUGCCUGGGGAGACUCCGCCCACCAGCUGGGAGCCAUAGUCCAGAGACUGCUGGCUGUGGAACGUACCCUGCUUGCCUGUGAAGCCCUGGCAGAUCACCUUGGUGUCUUUACUGAUGUAAAGGUUCUGUCUGGAGGCAGUAUAGCAGCUUCUGACACCGCUCUGCUGCAAGAGCAGCCUGGAGAACAACCUACAGUGCGACAUCUUCGGUCAUUCACCAAUGACACGGGAGGCUCUGGACCCUGGCACAACGAUUUAGUUGUCUAAAAUUGUGCCGAAUGAUAUAUAUUCAAAGAUUGCUGGAAAAUAUAUAAAUGGUCGUUGAAUAUUUAUGUAUGUGUUUUCCGCUAAGGAGUGUGUAACAACUCACCUGCCGAAUCAACUAGCCCUGAAAAUGGAUGGCGCUGGAGCGUUGGGCCCAUAACCCGGCCCGUCGCUGGCGAUCGGAGCCCACGUGGGCUACGCCGCGACAGUAGGAGGGCCGCCGCGGUGAGCACGGAAGCCUAGGGCGUGGGCCCGGGUGGAGCCGCCGCGGGUGCAGAUCUUGGUGGUAGUAGCAAAUAUUCAAACGAGAACUUUAGGCCGAAGUGGGAGGAGGGGUUCCAUGUGAACAGCAGUUUGAAACAUGGGUCAGUCGGUCCUAAGAGAUUGGCGAACGCCGUUCAAAAGUGCGGGGCGAUGGCCUCCGUCGCCCCCGGUCGAUCGAAAAAGGGGAGUCGGGUUCAGAUCCCCGAAUCUGGAGAGGCGGAGAUAGGCGCCGCGGGGCGUCCAGUGCGGUAACGCAAACGACCCCGGAGAAGCUGGCGGGAGCCCCGGGAAGNNNNNNNNGGGGGGUAAGGGAAGUCGGCAAAUCAGAUCCGUAACUUCGGGAUAAGGAUUGGCUCUAAGGGCUGGGUCGGUCGGGGCUGGGGUGCGAAGCGGGGCUGGGCCUGCCCUCGGCUGGGGGAGCAGCUGCCGUUGCCUCCUGUCGUCCUCCCCCGGUGGAAGCGUCGGAAGGGGUGGUCCGAGGGUUCUCUGUGGCGCUGGCUCUCCGGGGUCGGUGUUGUGGGGGGCUUGAGGGACGCUCCGACUGGGCGUGGAAGUCGGGUGUGGGGUCUUCAGGCUCGGGCGGCGGUUGGCGGCGACUCUGGGCGUUGUCGGGCCCUUCUCGCGGAUCUCUUCAGCUACACGGUGUCUGUAGCGGCUCCACCGGAGUCGUGGCGGUUCGCCCCGACCGGCACCUAGCAGCUGACUUAGAACUGGUGCGGGACCAGGGGAAUCCGACUGUUUAAUUAAAACAGAGCAUCGCGAGGGCCCCUAGCGGGUGUUGACGCAAUGUGAUUUCUGCCCAGUGCUCUGAAUGUCAAAGGUGAAGAAAAUUCAAGAAGCGCGGGUAAACGGCGGGAGUAACUAUGACUCUCUUAAAGGGAGCCAAAUGCCUCGUCAUCUAAUUAGUGACGCGCUGAAUGGAUGAACGAGAUUCCCACUUCCCUACCUACUAUCCAGCCGAACCACAGCCAAGGGAACGGGCUUGGCAGAAUCAGCGGGGAAAGAAAAGACCCUGGUUGAGCUUGACACUCUUAGUCUGGUACUGGUGAAGACAUGAGGGGUGUAGAAUAAGUGGGAGGUCUUUGGGGCCGGCGUUGAAAUACCACUACUCUUAUCGUUUUUCCACUACCCGGUGAGGCGGGGAGGCGAGCCCCAGCGGGGUCUCGUUUCUGGUGUCAAACCCCCGGCUUGGCCGGGGGCAACCCGUUCCGGGGACAGUGACAGGGGGGGAGGUUGACUGGGGCGGUACACCUGUCAAACGGUAACGCAGGUGCUCCUAGGCGAGCUCAGGGAGGACAGAAACCUCCCGUGGAGCAGAAGGGGCAAAAGCUCGCUUGAUCUUGAUUUUCAGUAUGAGUACAGACCGUUGAAAGCGCGGACUCACGAUCCUUCUGAUGUUUUGGGUUUUUAAGCAGGAGGGUCAGAAAAGUUCCCCACAGGAUAACUGGCUUGUGGCGGCCAAGCGGUCUCAUAACGACGUCGCUUUUUUAUCCUUCGAUGUCGGGUCUUCCUAUCAUUGUGAAGCGAAUUCACCAAGCGUUGGAUUUUGUUCAACCCACUAAUAGGGAACGUGAGCUGGGUUUAGACCGCGUGAGACAGGUUAGUUUUUACCCUACUGAGAUGUGUUGUUGCAAUAGUAAUCCUGCUCAGUACGAGAGGAACCGCAGGUUUCAGACAUUUGGUGUAUGUGCUUGGCUGAGGAGCCAAUGGGGCGAAGCUAACAUCUGUUGGGCUUAUGACUAAAGCCCUAAGUCAGGAUUCCCCCCUAGAUGUGAUGAUACCAUAGUGGCCCGGGCUCUACACGAUUGUUCCAGGAUAACCGACCCCUCCGGGGGCGGCGCAGGAAGGACAUUUGAUACUGGCCUUGGGGGUGCGGCCGGAUGAUGGGCGCCCCCCUCCCUGAUCACAUAAGAGGCCCUGCU
rnacentral:rRNA from 1 species